rnacentral:rRNA from 1 species
UACGUAGGGGGCGAGCGUUAUCCGGAUUUACUGGGCGUAAAGCGCGUUAAGGCGGCUUCUUAAGUUGGUGGUGAAAUUUCAGGGCUCAACCCUGAAACUGCCUCCAAUACUGGGGAGCUUGAGUGCGAGAGAGGAAAGUGGAAUUCCCGGUGUAGUAGUGAAAUGCGUAGAUAUCGGGAGGAACACCAGUGGCGAAGGCGGCUUUCUGGCUCGCAACUGACGCUGUAGCGCGAAAGCGUGGGGAGCGAACGGG